GCCGGGGUGGCGGAAUUGGUAGACGCGCCGGACUCAAAAUCCGGUUCUGGCAACAGAGUGAGAGUUCAAGUCUCUCUCCCGGCA
rnacentral:tRNA from 1 species